UACGAGGGGUGCAAGCGUUGCUCGGAAUUAUUGGGCGUAAAGGGUUGGUAGGUGGUCUUAUUUGUCUAAGGUGAAAUCCUAUGGCUUAACUGUGGAAGUGCCUUAGAAACGGUAAGACUAGAGUCCUAGAGGGGUUUGUGGAAUUCCCGGUGUAGCGGUGAAAUGCGUAGAGAUCGGGAGGAACACCAGCGGCGAAGGCGGCAAACUGGAUAGGCACUGACACUCAACAACGAAAGCGUGGGGAGCAAACAGG
rnacentral:rRNA from 1 species